rnacentral:lncRNA from 10 species
GCUGUGGCCUCUGCUCCUGCCCUGAUAGUCUCCUUAGUCAUACCCAGCCCUGCUGAAUGCACCUCUGCUUUUGAACUCCCCCAGUCAGUGUGGACUUACGAGUGGGAGAAGGAACAUUAAGAUCCAGGAAGUCACCGUGGAGGCUGCCACGUGAGGGGCGGCUGAGGAACCACCCUCUUUUGCUGAGCUUUACACUAAGCCCGUUCCCCCCUCCUUCUGCCAGGCCUCCUCCCCCCUCCUUGCCCUCUGGCUCCCCACAGUACCCCCCUUCUUACUGCAGGCACCCCUCGUUCUUCUCGAUGGGAGCCUGACAGCUGGGACAGCGCUUGGAGAUGAGCUUGGCCAGGUGCUUGCUCUGCGCCUCCACGCUCAUGCCGUCAUAGUAGCCACCGUCGUCGACCCACUGAGACAUAUGGCCACAGCUAGCAGGCUCCAGUGGCUUAUCUCCAAUGACCGUCCGGAUGCUCCUGUCUCUGACUUAUGCCUCCAACAGACCCAGCCUCUUCUCUACAAAACUGACUUGCCCAUUGCGUCCCCCAAACCCUGAUCAACUUGCACCACUGUCCCCCUCGUCACCAGUGUUGGAACUUUCAUAUCGUUCUCUUGCUCCCAUGUCACUCCCCCAUCCUAAAUCAGGCCAUUAUCCCCUCAUCCCUAAACCACUGUGAGAGCCUGAUCCAUGGUCUCCUCUCCCGGUCUCUCCCUACACCAUCCAUUUGGUCUAUGCACGAGCAGCCGUUGCAGCCGUCUGAGCCUCCUACAAUACUCCAUGAGUGACCCCUGCCUCUCACACUGCCUAUGGCCAUGCCUUCCAAAAUGAUGGGUCUAAACCCUCAGGAGACCGUGUGUCUGUGAUAUCAAAGCUGCAGCAUAAAUUUGAAGCACCUGACUAGGUCAUUUUUACUCAAAGUACCAGACCAAAGUAAACAAAACCCUUUCUGCAUUGAAACAAACCCAAAGUUGGGAAAUUGAAUGCAAAUUCUUACAUUUUUGAGAUAGAACAGGGAAAAUUUUCUCUGAAUUCAGACCCUAUUCUUACAGGCACACCAGUGCCUCAGGGUCCCCCUCUGCCCUGGCAUCUCAGUCUGGGGACUCCCAGCUGCUCUCAUGACUACUGUCCAACCCAAGUGGUGGGGCUCACCCUGGGAGCUGUCCGGCUGCUUCUCUUGCAUUGCUGUUGUGCCACUCAGCUGUGACCAAUGCUGCACAGGCUCCUCCUUGCAGGGGCUUUUCAAUCAGCCUGUUCAUCUGCCUGGUUUUCAGGCCCCUUGUCUCUCUCUCUCUCUCUCUCUUUUAAACAAAGUCUCGCUUUGUCACCCACACUGGAGGGUAAUGGCACAAUCAUGGUUCACCGCAGCCUCAAUCUCCUGGACUCAAGCAAUCCUCCCACCUCAACCUCCUGAGUAGGCAGGACUAUAGGUGUGCACCACCAUGCCUGGGUAAAGUUUUUUUCUAUUUUUUGUAGCUAUGGGGUCUUGCUGUGUUGUCUAGGCUGGUCUCAAACUCCUGAGACCCCCCGUCUCUGUAUCUUUACAGGCUUGGUUCCCUGGGUCUGCUUCUUUCUCCUUGGGUAAGGCCUGCCAGGCCUCUCUGCUUCAUUCCAAAUUCAAAAAUCCACUGUCUACCUGCCAGUUCCACACAGGUGUCCAACAAGCAGCUCAAACUUCACAGGGCCACAACAGAGUAAAGAUGACACAUGCCAUCCACCCAGGUGCUCAGGUCAAAGCACAGGAACCAUCCUUGAUUCCCCUGUCUGAAGCCCCUACAUUUAACCCACCAACUCCCGUCAGCUCCACUUCCAAAUGUGUCCCAAUCCACCCUCUCUCAUCGCCACUGCCCCAGUCCAAACUACCACCAUCUCUUGUCUCUCGUACAACAGUCACCAAAUGGGCCUUCCUGCUUCCACUCUUGCUCCCUCCAAGCCUUUUCUCCAC